UCGGUUUCGGUCCGGUCUUGACCGGUUUUUAGUCAACUCGGUUUUUUCGGUUCGGUUUUCGGUUUUUCGGUUUUUUUGCCCACCCCUACAUUCCAUUGCCAACAUUACCCUUUCCUCCCCCUGUUGUGGUUGUUCAAUAGCCCUGUCCUCAGCUCCCUUCUCUUUUUCAUCUUUUUUAUUUCCUCUAUCCUAUCUCUCUCCUCUCUUCCUCUACUUUUAUUGAAAACAUGUCAAGUACUGGUAGGCGUUGGACAAUGCCAGUCUAUCUUCUCGUUCCAUACAAAUUUCCCAAAGAUAUCAGAAUCACCGAAAGGUUUUGAUGCGUUAAAAUAACCAGAAACCGAUUGUGUCUUCAACUUUAUGGCGAAUCAUUGCCUUGUUCUGCGCUUUCUUGGCCAAGUACACCAUAAUAUUUCUUCAGUAAUAUUUCUCAAAAUCCUCUUCUUAUGCCUAAACUCUUCCUCCAUCAUCAUCACCGCUACUGCUGCGUUUAUUGUAAUCUGAAAUGCUUGGUCGGUUGUUUUAUUGCCUUUUCUGCUGUGUUUAUUGUAAUCUGAAAUGCUUGGUCGGUUGUUUUAUUGCUUUUUCUUCGGUUAUUACAACUUUCGCUUCUCUAUCUAGUUCUUGAUUCCUCAGUCUUCAUACUCAGGUAUUAAAUUCUCCUUGCAGAUUUUCUUCUUCUGCUACUACUACCCGGCCUCUUCCAUCCUUUUUAGUAUCUUGAUCCUACAAAGCUAGUUCGGUAAUAUUCUAUUAAAGCUUGAUUUGGCCAUAAUGACAUAUUUAUUUUCAAAUCAAUCAGAAAAUAAGCACUAUCAAGUUGCUAUUUUGACUCCAAUGUUUGAGUUAAGAUUUCUAAAAGCUGGCUUUCCUAAAUAAUAGAGAAUAACAUGUUCAGACUUCAGACAAAUCAUUUGAAAGGAUAAUGAUUUGUUGCCUAUUAAGAUGUUAUUUCAUUCCUUAGAUAAUUUCUUACUAUUCAAAACCAUGAUCCUUAAAAUGUAAUUGUAGAUAGACCUAUAUAUAUACCACAACACUAAAUUACUGUUGCAGUUUAUCCAUUGCAAAGCCAUGGCUGCAAACAAGAUUGUUGCUUUAUCUUUAUGCUUUCUUUCAAGCUUCUUCUUACUAUUAGAUGUAGUUUUUUUUUUUUUUUUUUUUUUAAUUAAAAAACAAAUUAUAUUGAUAAGCUCAACGAAUUACACAAAAGUAGAGGACAAACGCGCUACAAACUGCGCGGCGAGUCCUUUCUGGAUAGCAAACCCGACUCUCCUAAAUACAUAUCGUUCGAACCCGCAGUCAUCACGUUGCUAUCCAUUAUUUUCUGUACUCUCCUGAGGAGCUCAACUGCUUUUGAGCCUAGCAAUCCAAAUGUGUCAAAUGCAAAGGGGAUAUGAAACUAUGUUGGUUAGCCCUACAAGCUCCGUCAUGUUUCUCCACUUUUGCUGCUGCUGCAUUGCUAGCUGCUAGCCCCACCUCAAAAAUCCCAGCACCCAGCCCAACCAUCGGAGACGCCCCUGUAACAUCAACACACGCAUGUUUACCUUCAGACCAGUUGUAGACCAGAAUAUCAGCAAGACGUAAUGUCGAUCUUCCUUCCUAGGAUCAGUAAGAAAGUUAACAGGAGUCUCCUUCUUAACCUGUACUCCAGCCCGUCAGAACACAUCACACAAGAUAUCUCUAACGUGGUCAUGUCUGUACUUGAAGUCGGGGUAAUGCUUACAAUGGGCCGCAUGGUCCCCGAAGCCAUCAAGUCAGCUCUUCUUGCACACUGGACAAAGCUCACCAUCUGAAUAUAGAGGGAUCAUCAAUCGAUAACGAAGAAUGGCACGAUAUUCUACAGGCGUCAUGCGUUGUCCAAGCCCUUCAAUCGGGAUAGCAAGGAGAAAAUAUUUGGCAUGUUCUGACUGCAAACAUUCAAUCACGGCUUUUUGUCUAGCUGACAACUCAAAUUCCUUCUCAAGACCAGAACUAAUCUUGUUGUAGUAUGCUUCCGCCAAGACAUGUUGGGGUCUGAAGGGGACGGUAGCAGUUGGAGCAAGAUUAAUGAGAUCAAAAUCAGGUAUAGAAAGAUGUAAACUAGCAAUGGCAGUAUCGAAAAUAUUACCCAUAGGUGCAGUCUCACCACCUCGAAGAAUGUGGUCUUGGAGAUUCUUAGUUUGCACACGUGAAGCUACGAAAGCAAACUUCAUAACAUCAGUAGCACAAUUGUAACACCCAUGAGUUGGUGUUAGUCCCACAUUGCCAAGGAAGUGGUUGUUUCGGUAGUAUAUAGAGCUUAACCAUACUCUAACUAAUGUCAAGGCCUUUUAGGGUAAACCACAUGGGUGGGCCCUGAUCCAAAACCCUCUACUGCUGGAUAUCUGCAGUGACUAAAAGGGGACAAUAUUGAUAUUAGCGAGUCGUAUGGUGCUCGACGCACCGGGAUGAGCGAUGACGAAAUCCUAGGGCGUUACAGUUGGUAUCAGAGCCGACGAUGGGUCGCCUGUUGCAGGUGGGAAGUACGCUGGAAAGGCCCAGGGAGCGCCAGGUACUUGUCUCAUUUGGCAGGGAACGUCGGAGAUUUUGGGACUGUACCGAGUGUACUGCAGAGCCGAGGACGGCUCUAUUUCUAAGGUGGUGAGAUUGUAACACCCAUGAGUUGGUGUUAGUCCCACAUUGCCAAGGAAGUGGUUGUAUUGGUAGUAUAUAGAGUUUAACCAUACUUUAACUAAUGUCAAUGCCUUUUAGGGUAAACCACAUGGGUGGGCCCUGAUCCAAAACCCUCUACUGCUGGAUAUCCGCAGUGACUAAAAAGGGACAAUAUUGACAUUAGCGAGCGGUAUGGUGCUUGACGCACCGGGAUGAGCGGGGACGAAAUCCUGGGGCGUUACAACAAUAGAUACCAAGUCCACCCAUACGUAAUGGGAGGGUUGCCAUACGCCAUUGUAGAUCGCCAAAACCAGGUCCAUCAGAAACCACAAUAUUCUGUCCCCCCCAAUUGGUUAAUUAAUAAGGAAAAAUGGAGCUCUUUUUGUGUUAUUGCUACUUGAAAAUUUUGGAAAGCUAGAUGUUCCAUGAUAUUCAGAAAACAGUUUGUACAACCCCACUUACUUGCUCUCAGAAUUGACAGAAUAGUGGAUAAAUACAUGCAUAAUACUUUGGCAGAAAAAUCAGGUUAUGUGCCCAGGAAUUUAUCAUCUCAGACUAUCUGGAUCCCUCCCAUAGAAGGCACAGUCAAGAUAAAUGUGGACAUCUGUUUCUCUGCAGCUGAUAAACCCAUUGGUAUUGGAUACUUAAUGAGAUCGGCAUCUGGUGUAUGCUUAUUUGCAGGGACAGAGACAAAUAAUACUGGCAGCUUAGACGAGGCAGAGUGCAGGGGCAUCCUCCGAGCACUCAGAAGUGGUGUCGAACAGCGACUGAAAGAUGUGGAAGUGGAGUCUGACAGUAAGGGUGCAGCAGACUAUAUGAAUGGGCAUCCUGCUAACCUAACUUGGACGACAGCCAACUUAUUAGAGGAGGCAAAAUCUAUGUUUACUUUGUUUAAUUCAGUUGUUUUUAAAUUUUGCAAUCAAUCAGGGAACUUUUGUGCUCAUAUAUUAGCAAAACAUGCUGAUAUAAGCUCACAAAACCUAUCUACUAUCUACCUCCACCACUUUGGCUCCUUUGCCAGCUGGAGAAAGACCUGUUAAUUAUGUAAUAUUGUGAACUACUAGUUGUUUCUAAUAUAAUGACUAUUAAAAAAAAAAAAAAAAACCUUUGUAUGGCAUCUCUGGACCGCACAGGCUCACACCAAUCUUUUCGAAAAAUUCUCAACUCUUUCAGCAUGUGCAAUCAACUCACACAUGAUUUCACUAUAUAUUCUCCUAUGUUACUUAGAGUCUAUCAUUGUGUCUUCCUCAAUCUCAUUGGGUGAACUUGCAUAUAAACGUAUUGUCAGACUCCCAACUUCUUCGGUUUCCCAUUCAUAUAACCUUGCUCUGAUUAGG
rnacentral:lncRNA from 1 species